AUACGGAAGGUCCGGGCGUUAUCCGGAUUUAUUGGGUUUAAAGGGAGCGCAGGCGGAGAUGCAAGCGUGACGUCAAAUUUCGGGGCUCAACCCCGUCUCGCGUCGCGAACUGCGUCCCUUGGUUGCGGGAAGGGGAGGCGGAACUCGUGGUGGAGCGGUGAAAUGCAUAGAUAUCACGAAGAACUCCGAUCGCGAAGGCAGCCUUCCGGCCCGUCAACGACGCUCAUGCUCGAAGGUGCGGGUAUCAAACAGGAUUAGAUACCCUGGUAGUCCGCACAGUAAACGAUGGACACCCGCGGUUUGGCCUGUAUGGCUGAGCCGCCAAGCGAAAGCGUUAAGUGUCCCACCUGGGGAGUACGCCGGCAACGGUGAAACUCAAAGGAAUGGACGGGG
rnacentral:rRNA from 1 species